rnacentral:rRNA from 1 species
GAUGAACGCUGGCGGCGUGCCUAAUACAUGCAAGUCGAGCGAAUGGAUUAAGAGCUUGCUCUUAUGAAGUUAGCGGCGGACGGGUGAGUAACACGUGGGUAACCUGCCCAUAAGACUGGGAUAACUCCGGGAAACCGGGGCCAAUACCGGAUAACAUUUUGAACCGCAUGGUUCGAAAUUGAAAGGCGGCUUCGGCUGCCACUUAUGGAUGGUCCCGCGUGGCAUUAGCUAGUUGGUUAGGUAACGGCUCACCAAGGCAACGAUGCGUAGCCGACCUGAGAGGGUGAGCGGCCACACUGGGACUGAGACACGGCCCAGACUCCUACGGGAGGCAGCAGUAGGGAAUCUUCCGCAAUGGACGAAAGUCUGACGGAGCAACGCCGCGUGAGUGAUGAAGGCUUUCGGGUCGUAAAACUCUGUUGUUAGGGAAGAACAAGUGCUAGUUGAAUAAGCUGACACCUUGACGGUACCUAACCAGAAAGCCACGGCUAACUACGUGCCAGCCGCCGCCGUAA